rnacentral:misc_RNA from 1 species
GUCAAUCUUAUUGCUUUGAAUGGCUUGGUAGCAUAGAGGAAAUGGAAGAAUGUCGGGACUCAUAAUUACACCUUCUUUUGCUUAUUUAGGCUACACAAAUGAGACAAGUUCAUUUCAGCUUAAAAGAAGAUAUUCUGUGCUACUUAAUGUUUAUUUGCCUGUGAGUGUUAAACAUUUGACAUAGUUUUGUUAUUGGGCAGCUAAAUUAGGGCCUCUAUUGUGGCUGCCAUAAAGUUGACGCUGCAGAUCACUUUUGUAUGCUACAGUGAGAGCAACUCUGUUUUCAUUGAUAAUUAAUGUUUGUACCAAUCGAACUUUUUGUUGCCCAAUUUUUUGGGGUCCUAGUAU